AUGACAUGGUGCAAUAGCUUCAACGACGUGCGCGCCGUGGAGAACAACCUGGCCUCCGCCGCGGCCGUCGCGGCGGCGGCGGCCAAGAAGCAGCAGCACCACCAGCAGCAGGCCUCCUCCCACGUCAGCCUCGUCAGGACGUGCCCCGCCUGCGGCCACCAUGCGCAGUAUGAACAGUUGCAGGCGGCCGCGACGAUACAGGAUCUGCCUGGGCUGCCGGCCGGCGUCAAGUUCGACCCGACGGACCAGGAGCUGCUGGAGCACCUGGAGGGGAAGGCGAGGCCGGACACGCGCAAGCUCCACCCGCUCAUCGACGAGUUCAUCCCGGCGAUCGAGGGAGAGAACGGCAUUUGCUACACCCAUCCCGAGAGGCUUCCAGGAGUUGGCAAGGACGGCCUGAUCCGCCACUUCUUCCACCGUCCAUCAAAGGCGUAUACGACGGGGACUAGGAAGCGGCGCAAGGUGCACACCGACGAGCAGGGCGGCGAGACGAGGUGGCACAAAACGGGCAAGACCCGCCCCGUAUUCACCGACGGGAAGCUCAAGGGGUACAAAAAGAUCCUCGUCCUCUAUACCAACUACGGCAAGCAGCGCAAGCCGGAGAAGACCAACUGGGUGAUGCACCAAUACCACCUAGGCUCCGAUGAGGAGGAGAAGGAUGGUGAGCUCGUCGUCUCCAAGGUGUUCUACCAGACGCAGCCACGGCAGUGCGGCGGUUCGACGGCUGCCGCCGUCAGGGACGCCGCCAUCACGGCGGGCAAUAUCAUCAAGGGCGGCGGUGCAGGUGCAACUAGUGAUCAUCACCGUCAUCACCACGAGGAUGGCCACAACAACAACAUGCUGAAGGAAGCUGCAGGAAUGGUAGAUUUCUACAGCCCAACUGCCGCAGCACUAAUCGGGUACGGCAGCCAGGUGGCUCCUCCUAACAACAGGGCGGCGGCCGCGGCUGCUGCCGCUUCUGCUCAUUUGAUGCCUAACUUCGAGGUUAGAGGCCAGGAGACACGUACUGAGAGGAUGGCAGGCAGAUAA
rnacentral:rRNA from 1 species